UCAGACAUGGUGUAAUGGGAACACCGCCUCUUUUCGUCUUGCCUGGCAAUCACAUUCAGAGGCGGUUCAGGGUUUGAUUCCCUGUGUCUGGA